rnacentral:rRNA from 1 species
CAGCAGCCACGGUAAUACGGAGGGGGCUAGCGUUGCUCGGAAUUACUGGGCGUAAAGCGCGCGUAGGCGGCUUGGUAAGUUAGAGGUGAAAGCCUGGGGCUCAACCCCAGAAUUGCCUUUAAGACUGCCGAGCUAGUAGGUGAGAGAGGUAAGUGGAAUUCCGAGUGUAGAGGUGAAAUUCGUAGAUAUUCGGAAGAACACCAGUGGCGAAGGCGGCUUACUGGCUCAUUCUAGACGCUGAGGUGCGAAAGCGUGGGGAGCAAACAGGAUUAGAGACCCCGGUAGUCCCUGUCUCUUAUAC